GAGUUUAAUCCUGGCUCAGGACGAACGCUGGCGGCGUCCUUAACACAUGCAAGUCGAGCGAUGAAAAUCGGAGCGUUUCCUUUCGGGGAAACAAUCCGAUUGGAUUAGCGGCGGACGGGUGAGUAACACGUGAGUAACCUGCCGUACACAUUGGGAUAGCCUCGGGAAACUGGGAUUAAUACCAAAUGAAACAUACAGAUAGCAUUAUCUAAAUGUCAAAGAUUUUAUCGGUGUACGAUGGACUCGCGUCUGAUUAGCUAGUUGGUAAGGUAACGGCUUACCAAGGCGAUGAUCAGUAGCCGGCCUGAGAGGGUGAUCGGCCACAUUGGGACUGAGACACGGCCCAAACUCCUACGGGAGGCAGCAGUGGGGAAUAUUGCACAAUGGAGGAAACUCUGAUGCAGCGACGCCGCGUGAGCGAAGAAGGGAUUCGUCUCGUAAAGCUCUGUCCUAUGGGAAGAUAAUGACGGUACCAUAGAAGAAAGCCCCGGCUAACUACGUGCCAGCAGCCGCGGUAAUACGUAGGGGGCUAGCGUUGUCCGGAAUCAUUGGGCGUAAAGGGUUCGUAGGCGGUAAUACAUGUCAGAUGUGAAAUCUUGUGGCUUAACCACAUCAAGCAUCUGAAACUGUAUAACUUGAGUGAAGGAGAGGUAAGUGGAAUUCCUAGUGUAGCGGUGAAAUGCGUAGAUAUUAGGAAGAAUACCAGUAGCGAAGGCGACUUACUGGCCUUUAACUGACGCUGAGGAACGAAAGCGUGGGUAGCAAACAGGAUUAGAUACCCUGGUAGUCCACGCCGUAAACGAUGAGUGCUAGGUGUCGGGUGUCAAAGCUCGGUGCCGCAGUAACGCAAUA
rnacentral:rRNA from 1 species